AGAGAGAGACAUGCGCGCAUAUCAAUAAGCGGAGGAAAAGAAACUAACAUAGGAUUCCCUCAGUAACGGCGAGUGAAGCGGGAAGAGCUCAAAUUUGAAAUCUUCAAGGUUCUACCUUGACGAAUUGUAGUUUAAAGAAGUGUUUUCUGUUGAAGUUUUGGUAAAAGUUCUUUGGAAUAGGACAUCAUAGAGGGUGAGAAUCCCGUAUUUGACCAUUAUUUCCAGCUUUGUGAUACACUUUCAAAGAGUCGGAUUGUUUGGGAAUGCAGUCCAAAAUGGGUGGUAAAUUUCAUCUAAAGCUAAAUAUUGGCGAGAGACCGAUAGCGAACAAGUACCGUGAGGGAAAGAUGAAAAGAACUUUGAAAAGAGAGUUAAACAGUACGCGAAAUUGUCAAAAGGGAAGCGUUUGACACCAGUGUUGUUUUCUCGAAAAUCAAUUAAAAAUGACUCGAUUUUGUAUUGCUUGAGACCUUAAAAGCUCACUGUACAUUUUUUCGUGUCUUUUUUAAUGCACUUUUCGUUUAACAAGUCAACAUCAGUUUCUUUUGUUGUAAAAGGGUCAUUGGAAGGUGGCUUUCUUUUCGGAGAAAGUGUUUAUAGCCUUUGGCCUCUGCAAUCGGAGAGACUGAGGUCUGCAGCGUAGACUCUUCGGGGUUAGAUACAUUUGUGCUAAGUUAUAGCUUUUUAUAGACAACUUGUUGACUAUAAUUAGUCUUGUAGCUUACUCGCUUAUGCUAUUUUACCUACGCUUAGGAUGUUGAAGAUGUAGCACAUCAU
rnacentral:rRNA from 1 species